UACAGAGGUGGCAAGCGUUGUUCGGAAUUACUGGGCGUAAAGGGCGCGUAGGCGGCCGACUAAGUCAGACGUGAAAUCCCCAGGCUUAACUUGGGAACUGCGUCUGAUACUGGAUGGCUUGAGUGCGGGAGAGGGAUGUGGAAUUCCAGGUGUAGCGGUGAAAUGCGUAGAUAUCUGGAGGAACACCGGUGGCGAAGGCGGCAUCCUGGACCGACACUGACGCUGAGGCGCGAAAGCCAGGGGAGCAAACGGGAUUAGAAACCCCAGUAGUCC
rnacentral:rRNA from 1 species